rnacentral:rRNA from 1 species
AGAGUUUGAUCCUGGCUCAGGAUGAACGCUGGCGGCGUGCCUAAUACAUGCAAGUCGAACGCACUGAUUUUAUCAGUGAGUGGCGAACGGGUGAGUAAUACAUAAGUAACCUGCCCUCAUGAGGGGGAUAACUAUUAGAAAUGAUAGCUAAGACCGCAUAGGUGAAGGGGUCGCAUGACCGCUUCAUUAAAUAUCCGUAUGGAUAGCAGGAGGAUGGACUUAUGGCGCAUUAGCUGGUUGGUGAGGUAACGGCUCACCAAGGCGACGAUGCGUAGCCGACCUGAGAGGGUGGACGGCCACACUGGGACUGAGACACGGCCCAGACUCCUACGGGAGGCAGCAGUAGGGAAUUUUCGGCAAUGGGGGAAACCCUGACCGAGCAACGCCGCGUGAGGGAAGAAGUAUUUCGGUAUGUAAACCUCUGUUAUAAAGGAAGAACGGUAUGAAUAGGAAAUGAUUCAUAAGUGACGGUACUUUAUGAGAAAGCCACGGCUAACUACGUGCCAGCAGCCGCGGUAAUACGUAGGUGGCGAGCGUUAUCCGGAAUCAUUGGGCGUAAAGAGGGAGCAGGCGGCAAUAGAGGUCUGCGGUGAAAGCCUGAAGCUAAACUUCAGUAAGCCGUGGAAACCAAAUAGCUAGAGUGCAGUAGAGGAUCGUGGAAUUCCAUGUGUAGCGGUGAAAUGCGUAGAUAUAUGGAGGAACACCAGUGGCGAAGGCGACGAUCUGGGCUGCAACUGACGCUCAGUCCCGAAAGCGUGGGGAGCAAAUAGGAUUAGAUACCCUAGUAGUCCACGCCGUAAACGAUGAGUACUAAGUGUUGGGGGUCAAACCUCAGUGCUGCAGUUAACGCAAUAAGUACUCCGCCUGAGUAGUACGUUCGCAAGAAUGAAACUCAAAGGAAUUGACGGGGGCCCGCACAAGCGGUGGAGCAUGUGGUUUAAUUCGAAGCAACGCGAAGAACCUUACCAGGUCUUGACAUCGAUCCGACGGGGGAGUAACGUCCCCUUCCCUUCGGGGCGGAGAAGACAGGUGGUGCAUGGUUGUCGUCAGCUCGUGUCGUGAGAUGUUGGGUUAAGUCCCGCAACGAGCGCAACCCUUGUCGCUAGUUACCAUCAUUAAGUUGGGGACUCUAGCGAGACUGCCUCUGCAAGGAGGAGGAAGGCGGGGAUGACGUCAAAUCAUCAUGCCCCUUAUGACCUGGGCUACACACGUGCUACAAUGGACGGAUCAAAGGGAAGCGAAGCCGCGAGGUGGAGCGAAACCCAAAAACCCGUUCUCAGUUCGGACUGCAGUCUGCAACUCGACUGCACGAAGUUGGAAUCGCUAGUAAUCGCGAAUCAGAAUGUCGCGGUGAAUACGUUCUCGGGCCUUGUACACACCGCCCGUCACACCAUGAGAGUUGGUAACACCCGAAGCCGGUGGCUUAACCGCAAGGAGAGAGCUGUCUAAGGUGGGACUGAUGAUUAGGGUGAAGUCGUAACAAGGUAUCCCUACGGGAACGUGGGGAUG